UACGAAGGGGGCUAGCGCUGCUCGGAAUCACUGGGCGUAAAGGGUGCGUAGGCGGGUCUUUAAGUCAGGGGUGAAAUCCUGGAGCUCAACUCCAGAACUGCCUUUGAUACUGAAGAUCUUGAGUUCGGGAGAGGUGAGUGGAACUGCGAGUGUAGAGGUGAAAUUCGUAGAUAUUCGCAAGAACACCAGUGGCGAAGGCGGCUUACUGGUCCGGUUCUGACGCUGAGGCGCGAAAGCGUGGGGAGCAAACAGG
rnacentral:rRNA from 1 species